rnacentral:ncRNA from 2 species
UCCACCCCUGGCUGGUUUCUGCUUCCACCUGCUGAUCUCACAGAGGUGAGGUGAUAACAGUGAUGAAACAAAAUCUUCAAACCACAGCACACACUGCAAGCUAUUUGGCAUAUGAAGGUCUUGACCUGAGAAAACCAUCUUGGAUAACUGCAGCAAGGAAAAGGAAAAAUGCAACACCUAGGAGAUUUCAGUAAACAGUAGAAUCAUGCCAACCUAAUCUGUGUUAAAAUGCUUGGAAUGUGGGAGCCGCUGAUGAUGCCUCUUGUCUGUGUGUCUGACUGAAUCCUUUCUUUUCUCAGAGCAGCAAAGCAAAGCCUGGGAACCAGGCCAAAUGCCUGCCACUUACCUUAAAUUGAUCAGCCACUUUGAGAUUAAAACCCCUGAAAGCUGCCACACCGUGAAAACA